UUGCCUACGGGGGGCAGCAGUGAGGAAUAUUGGUCAAUGGACGAGAGUCUGAACCAGCCAAGUAGCGUGAAGGAUGACUGCCCUAUGGGUUGUAAACCUCUUUUGUCGGGGAGCAAAAGACGCCACGCGUGGCGUUCCGAGAGUACCCGAAGAAAAAGCAUCGGCUAACUCCGUGCCAGCAGCCGCGGUAAUACGGAGGAUGCGAGCGUUAUCCGGAUUUAUUGGGUUUAAAGGGUGCGCAGGCGGAAGAUCAAGUCAGCGGUAAAAUUGAGAGGCUCAACCUCUUCGAGCCGUUGAAACUGGUU
rnacentral:rRNA from 1 species